UACGGGGGGGGCAAGCGUUGUUCGGAAUUACUGGGCGUAAAGGGCUCGUAGGCGGCCAACUAAGUCUGACGUGAAAUCCCUCGGCUUAACCGGGGAACUGCGUCCGAUACUGGAUGGCUUGAGAUUGGGAGAGGGAUGCGGAAUUCCAGGUGUAGCGGUGAAAUGCGUAGAUAUCUGGAGGAACACCGGUGGCGAAGGCGGCAUCCUGGACCGGCAUUGACGCUGAGGAGCGAAAGCCAGGGGAGCAAACGGG
rnacentral:rRNA from 1 species